UACGUAGGGCGCAAGCGUUAUCCGGAAUUAUUGGGCGUAAAGAGCUCGUAGGCGGUUUGUCGCGUCUGCCGUGAAAGUCCGGGGCUCAACUCCGGAUCUGCGGUGGGUACGGGCAGACUAGAGUGAUGUAGGGGAGACUGGAAUUCCUGGUGUAGCGGUGAAAUGCGCAGAUAUCAGGAGGAACACCGAUGGCGAAGGCGGGUCUCUGGGCAGUAACUGACGCUGAGAAGCGAAAGCGUGGGGAGCGAACAGG
rnacentral:rRNA from 1 species